UCGAGCGAGUCUGCCUUGAAGAUCGGAGUGCUUGCACUCUGUGAAACAAGAUACAGGCUAGCGGCGGACGGGUGAGUAACACGUGGGUAACCUGCCCAAGAGAUCGGGAUAACACCUGGAAACAGAUGCUAAUACCGGAUAAUAACAGAUGAUGCCUAUCAACUGUUUAAAAGAUGGUUCUGCUAUCACUCUUGGAUGGACCUGCGGUGCAUUAGCUAGUUGGUAGGGUAACGGCCUACCAAGGCGAUGAUGCAUAGCCGAGUUGAGAGACUGAUCGGCCACAUUGGGACUGAGACACGGCCCAAACUCCUACGGGAGGCAGCAGUAGGGAAUCUUCCACAAUGGACGCAAGUCUGAUGGAGCAACGCCGCGUGAGUGAAGAAGGGUUUCGGCUCGUAAAGCUCUGUUGUUGGUGAAGAAGGACAGGGGUAGUAACUGACCUUUGUUUGACGGUAAUCAAUUAGAAAGUCACGGCUAACUACGUGCCAGCAGCCGCGGUAAUACGUAGGUGGCAAGCGUUGUCCGGAUUUAUUGGGCGUAAAGCGAGUGCAGGCGGUUCGAUAAGUCUGAUGUGAAAGCCUUCGGCUCAACCGGAGAAAUGCAUCAGAAACUGUCGAGCUUGAGUACAGAAGAGGAGAGUGGAACUCCAUGUGUAGCGGUGAAAUGCGUAGAUAUAUGGAAGAACACCGGUGGCGAAGGCGGCUCUCUGGUCUGUUACUGACGCUGAGGCUCGAAAGCAUGGGUAGCGAACAGGAUUAGAUACCCUGGUAGUCCAUGC
rnacentral:rRNA from 1 species